AUUCGCGUAGCUCAGUUGGAAGAGCAUUGGGCUAGUAUUCCAAAGGUCGUAGGUUCGAAUCCCACCGUGGCCG
rnacentral:tRNA from 1 species